rnacentral:pre_miRNA from 1 species
GCCAGUGUCAUUUUUGUGAUUUUCAGCUAGUGUUCUCAUUCCACUUGCAUAGGCACAAAAGUGCCCCUUGGC